UAGUAACAGAGGGUUUGAUCCUGGCUCAGAUUGGAACGCUGGCGGGAUGCUUUACACAUGCAAGUCGAACGGCAGCACGGACUUCGGUCUGGUGGCGAGUGGCGAACGGGUGAGUAAUGCACUGAACGCCUAGUAGCGGGGAUAACUACGCGCGAAAGUAGCUUAAUAUCGCACAGCCCUUCGGGGGAAAGGGGGACCUUCGGCCUCGCACUAUUAGAGCGGCUGAUAUCGGAUUAGUCAGUUGUGUAACGGCUCACCAAGGCGACGAUCCGUAGUUGGUUUGAGAGGGCGACCAGCCACACUGGGACUGGAGACACGGCCCAGACUCCUACGGAGGCAGCAGUGGGGAAUUUUGGACAAUGGGGAAACCCUGAUCCAGCCAUCCCGCGUGGCGAUGGCAGCGGCCUUUGGUUGUAAAGCACUUUUGGUAAAGAAACGGCACGGAUAUCACCCCGUGCAACUGACGGUGCCUGCAGAAUAAGCACCGCCAGCUCUACGUGCCAGCAGCCGCGGUAAUACGUAGGGUGCAAGCGUUAAUCGGAAUUACGGGGCGUGUGCCGCGCAGGCGGUUCGGAAAGAAAGAUGUGAAAUCCCAGAGCUAACUUGAACCGCAUUUCAACUACCGAGCUAGAGUGUGUCAGAGGGAGGUGAAUUCCGCGUGUAGCAGGAAUGCGUAGAUAUGCGGAGGAACACCGAUGGCGAAGGCAGCCCCUGGGAUAACACUGACGCUCAUGCACGAAAGCGUGGGGAGCAAACAGAUUAGAUACCCCUAUAGCCCACGCCCUAAACGAUGUCAACUAGCUGUUGGGGGCUUCGGCCUGGUAGCGCAGCUAACGCAAGCACCGCCUGGGGAGUACGGUCGCAAGAUUAAAACUCAAAGGAAUUGACGGGGUCCGCACAAGCGUGGAUGAUGUGGAUUAAUUGAUGCAACGCGAAAAACCUUACCUACCCUUGACAUGUCUGAAUCCCGAAGAGAUUUGGGAGUGCUCGCAAGAGAACCGGAACACAGGUGCUGCAUGGCUGUCGUCAGCUCGUGUCGUGAGAUGUUGGGUUAAGUCUCGCAACGAGCGCAACCCUUGUCAUUAGUUACGAAAGGGCACCUAAUGAGACUGCCGGCAGAGCUCAAACCGGAGGAAGGUGAUGACGUCAAGUCCUCAUGGCCCUUAUGGGUAGGGCUUUCAACACGUCAUACAAUGGUCGGGACAGAGGGUCGCCAACCCGCGAGGGGAGCCAAUCCCAGAAACCCGGAUCGUGUCCGGAUCGCAGUCUGCAACUCGACUGCGUGAAGUCGGAAUCGCUAGUAAUCGCGGAUCAGCAUGUCGUGGUGAAUACGUUCCCGGGUCUUGCACACACCGCCCGUCACACCAUGGGAGUGGGGUUUUACCAGAAGUAGUUAGCCUAACCGUAAGGAGGGCGAUUACCACGGUAGGAUCUUACAUGACUGGGGUGAAGUCGUGAACAAGGUAA
rnacentral:rRNA from 1 species